UGCUGCGAGACGCGCCCCUCCGCACACACACGCGCAUUCCCGCGGGCCGCGCGGGUUUGACAGGGGGCGCCCAGGCGAGUGCGGGCGACGCGCGCGGCAGCUGGCGCCGGGCCUGGACGGGAGUUCGGGGGCCUCCCCUGCGCGCGCUUUCCGUCCGGGCGGAGGACGCGAGGCUGGGCGCUGCUGCGGGAGCGCUCCCGAGGGCCCCUCCCCGCGACCCGAGGUGCGCCAGGGCCGCGGGGAUCCUCCUCCCCCGGCCCCCAGUGCCCUCAGCCACACACGGGUAUCCCCGCCACCCAGGUGCCCCCGCGACCCUCCUCCCGCCCCAGUCCUUGCGCGAACAGACCCCCCACCCCGGGCUUUGCUGAGACCCUCCCUCCGGCGGUCCGCGGGCUCCGCCGCCUCCGCAGUUAGGACGGUCGUUGGUGGAAGGAGCAGAGUCUGAGGAAGCAGCGUGAGGACCCCAGGGCUCUGCCCCAGGUGUGUCCCCAGUAAAGGAGCGACAGUGGUGUCCCACCUCAGGGCGGCCGUGAGCCUGAGGUGCGGAACACGACGAAACCCCCGUCCCGGGGCCCGCACCUCGGGGACGGUCGGUCUCCGUCACGGCCUCUCCUGUUCUGCGGCGAGAACCACUUCCCACCCCGCGAGGGCGGGAAUUCGGGGCUGGCGGGGGCGCGCCUGACGUGUGGAGUCGGGGCUCUGCGUGACACUCUGGUGCAGAAGGUGCGCGACAGGUGCCGGUCCACAGCGCCCCAGAGCAGGAAAACGCGGCGCGCUUCUGAGCACCUUUCAGCCGGCGGGGGCGGGGGCUUGGGGAGGAAAAACUCUGUCCUUUAUGAAUCAGAGAGGGGGACCUAACAGGUGGGCCCCAUGGUGUAAUGGUCAGCACUCUGGACUCUGAAUCCAGCGAUCCGAGUUCAAGUCUCGGUGGGACCUCGAUCUGAGACUUUUAUCCAUGUCCUGAUCAUUCCCCUGACUUUACCAAACCCUUUCCUUUCCAGCCCCUAGAAAUUGGCAUCCACAGACCCGUGACCUGAAUGGGGGAAUCCCAACCCUUUUAUUAAGUUCCAAUACAAUUUUCUUUUUCAUAUACUGAAUACUUAUGAAAAAAUAUACAAUCACUUUUUAUUGAUCGCAAAGACAACUCAAACCAGAAGAAAAACACUUAAAAUAGAAUUAAAAACACUUGAAAUGACUAAAAAUCUCAAUUUUUAUGUUUUUCUGCUUUAGACUAGUAUGAUAGGGUAAUUAAUCACAGCCUUUAAGCAUAUAAAUGCAACAUUUGGGGACCUAAUUCUGUGACAGUUACAGAAUAGAAAUGCUUUUAAAAGAGAAAGAAAAAUUCGUGAACGUUUUUCAACUGUUCAAUAAAAGCAUGCCAUAUUUUUUAAAUUGAGGUAUAAUUAAUACAUAACAUUACUUUCAGGUGUACAACAUAAUAAUUUGAUAUAUGUAUUGUAAAAUGAUCACAAUAAAUCUGGUAACAUAGUUACAUUUUUUUUUUUACUUGUGAUGAGAACUUUUCAGAUCUCCUCCCUUAUCAACUUUCAAAUCUGCAAAUCAGUAUUAUUUAGGACAGUCACCAUGAUGUACAUUACCUCCCCAGGACUUAUUUCUCUUGUAACGAAAACUUUGUACCUUUGAACCCUGGUUCUUGCCUUUUGCCAUCUUCUGCCUCCACAGCCACCAACUGGUUCUCUGUAUCUAUGAGCUCUUUUGUUUGUUUUUCUGCUAGAUUCCACAUUCAAAUGAACUCAUAUGGUAUUUGCCUUUCUCUGUCCUACUUUUUUCACCAAAUAUAUUUUUAGAGAAUGCUAAUGCAUAUCAAAUCGUUAGAGCUUUUAGUUUCCAAUGGACAAAAUCCAAUCGCUAACAGGACUCUUUCUUCAUGUCCAAAUUUUACCAUAUGCUAGCAGUUACAUUCGUUGGAGUAAUUUAAAUUUAUGAGGAAACCUUUUAGAAGACCACUGGAACAAACAUGGAGUUUGUCACCUUCCCUUUCUCUCUUCCAGGGAUAAGAUUUGCCUCCCCUUUGAAAUGAGCAAAAAGGGAAUUAUACAAUCAUUUGGGGAGAGAGGUGGAAAAUAUCACACAUUCCUAGAAAUCAGAUACAGUGUCAGUGUUGGAUUUUAUUAAAUGGCCUGCACUUCCUUUCUGAGGCCAUCUCCCCAUCCAGACGCAGGGAAAUCAAAAACACUUAGCAGAGGAUGGUUUCGAUCCAUCGACUUCUGGGUUAUGGGCCCAGCACGCUUCCGCUGCGCCACUCUGCUCCACUGAGAGUAUGCUUACUCUUAUUAUUUAUCAUGGGAAGGAUCAGACCCUUGCCAGUUUGAUUCACACCUCUUUCACUUCCCUCUCCAGCCUUGGCCUCCACAGGACCGCCUCCUCCUGGAAGUCGGCGGGAACCUCCGGGAGCCGCUCUGCGCCCGGCCCCCGCACCCCUGCGGGCUAGGAGGCGCGAAGAAGUCCGGCUUCCCGACCCCCGGAGCGACUGGGAUAGAGGGGUCUGGGGAGCGGACCGCGCGGUUCCUGCGGUUUCUGCCUCUGCCUUGGGCUUGGAGCCAAGGCCGUACCUACGGCCGGUGCCCACGGCCAGUGCCCUCCGGCCCCCGGCACCCGCUGACCCUGCGCGCCUUCCUCUGCUCCAUCACCAGCUCCUGCACCUGCCUUUGCAAGGGUCUUUCCGCCUUCACCGAAGCCCUGUGGGCAGAGCCCCAGGGCACUCAGGGUGUCCGUUACUGAGGAAGGGGAGGGAAAAUCAUUUUCUCUCUACCCUUGGAAGCCCUUGGCUGGAAACUCUGUCACAAGAGAGCAGCAAAAGAAAAACACAAGUUUAUUAACACUUAUACCUCCUGGGUGCCUGGGAGAGACCCGCGGGAAAGGAGCCCCUCCCCCAUGUGGGCUGGAAGGAAAUCCGGUACCACCGUCCCCUAAGGACAAGAGAGGAACGUGUGUGCAGGAACAGGAGAAAGCUGAGGGAUUCCCGUGCACAAGAGGGAUCCCCAGCAACACAGAUCCAGCCCCCCACUCCAGGUGACCCAGGACCACAAGAUAUGGGGGCCUGGCAUUUGCCAUCUAGGGAUGAGCCUCAGCAGCUUAUCUUGUAACCCAGCCCCUGCUCCCUGAGGCCCACAAGGCCCUUGCCCCUCUCUCCGGGAGCUGGAGGCCUUGGGAGACCAAGGAGGCUGCCCACCAGGUACCUAGACACAAUCUCCUUCCUGGAUUCCUUUUGCGGUGUUCUUCCAUCAUUCCUGCAGGAUUUCGUCGUCGGCAUCCUCUGCGAGCAUGACUUGUCACUUUUCUGAAAGCCAAACACGAGUGCUGGUGAAAGGAGCUGAGGUCAACAGGCCUCCCACUUCCCCCCAUGGGUGGGCACAGAAGGGGCUGGGAGUACCCACCCCUCAGGUCUGUUGGGCUCUGGCGGACAGUCUUCCCCACGCACAGGCCUUGUUAGGGAGAAUGACGGCUUUGAGGGUAUAUUUAAAUGGUCAUUAUUGCCCUCCCAGGAGGGGUGGGGGGAGAGUGUGGGAAGGGAUUUUGUUCUCCAGUCUUCACUGGGAGAACCUGGUAGGACUCCCAAGGGUAAAAGUCACACAAGUGUGGGGGCUUCUGUAGGAGUGGCUGCUUCUGGUUUUUGACUUCAUGCUUGUCCACAGGAAACCUCCAGCAACUCCUGGUUGACCUGUUCCUCCCUCAUACUGGUUCCGGGGUGGUUUCCACAACAGUGAGCUGGGAUGCCUCCCAAUGCGGUUGACCCUGUUGACCGCAGUUCUUUGACGGAGCUAAGAAAAGUUGUUAAUUUUCAGUUUGUUUAGCUAUUUUGUCAUUCCGAGGACAGGAGCGACAACUUCUAAACAGUUGAUGUGCAGGAUGGGAAACAAGAAGUCGUCCAGUUCAGUUUUAUCGAAGAUAUGUGCAUUGCUUGGCAAUUUCUUUAGGAUUUAGCAAGAAAGUGAACCUAGACUCCAGUCAGAACCAAAGAAGAACACUCCCUCUGUGGAACAAGAACUGCACUGAGAAGCCCAAAUUGCUUGGCACUGAGACCCUUAGGACCAGCCAGGAGCCUGCCCUUCCAACUCUGUGGGUGACCGAUGGGAGAAAUAAGACCCUGGAUUUGACCCCUAUGCCCCCUAACUUUUGACCUCCGAUGAUGCUGUCUCCUCCACAGGCAAAAAUACACUCCCUCCCUCUCAGUCGGAUUCCUUUGUGAAAUCCAGGAUGGCGUCAUCCAAAUUAGGGGAAGGCUCAGGUGAAGUUCCUCAGGUGGAAAAGCUCAAGCCAGAUUCUUCGUAAGUGGAAUAUCUGUGGACUGAAGGUCCAAGUCCCCCGUCUUCACAGACCGGCAUCGGAGGCAGAGGCUAAACACCAUCCACACUCCCGUUCAAAGAGAACAAAACCAGGGGACACACCGAGUCCCAGCAGUUCCAGAGGCCAGUGGGCACAGGAUGCCACUUGACUGCAACUCAGUUGUGCUGGCUGGGAACUGUCCUCCGGACUCCUGGCUGCUCCGUCCCACUCAUCCGUCCUGUUCAUACGGCAUUUCUUUUACUGAGACUUUGUCCCAAACUUUGCUCGUUUCGUGCUGUCCUCUGGCUUUUUGAGUCCGCACCGUCAGCGUUCAGUCACCAUGCUCCUGACACCCCUGCGAUGUCAUGAACAUUGCUGGAGUGGAUUCCUUUAGACCUGGAGUCGGCAGACGAUGACCCCAGGCCACAUCUGGCCAGCUGCCCGUUUUUAUAAAGUUUUCUGGGAACACAGCCACACUUACUUUCUCAUAUUUUCUGUGGCUGCUUUCCUGAUGCAGCAGCAGAUGUGAGUCAUGUCGACAGACAAGCCUAAAAUAUUUGCCAUCCGGCCCCCUCAAGAAAAAGUGUUCCAACCUCCGUAUUAAACAAAAACUGCGUUUGCAAACCUGGGAACAGGAGUCCCUUGUCUACCUUGGCUUCCGAUACAGCUGCUGGCGGGGCGCACCCCCAGAUUUUGUGGGUUUGUGAAUGGGACACGUAGGACAUGUCCUGAAGACCCUUAGAGGUUUGUUGUUCUGCUGAGAGACCACCUUAGCUCACCUGGCCUUGCCAACAAAAGAUUUUCCAAUCACACCUUUGGCUGCUGGCGGGGCUCUGGACUUAACAUUUGCCUGAAAGGCAUCUCUUAAUUUCGGUGUUGGUUUUCAUCUGCAGCAGCGGGGAGUAAGAAACAGCUUUCUCUUUCAAGCCCUUUCAGCUUGGGCUCAUUGGUAUUUAACUGUUCUUCCCUUAGCUUAAAGCUCUCAUCUCACAUUUUACCAUAAACGGCGAGAAAGGCUGAGCCGGCUGUCAUCACUCUGGCCGGAAAUCUCUUUAGCGACACGAGCCAGCGUGGAGGUGUCCGUUCUACGACAGUGCGGGCGACGGUGUGGAUGAAUUAUCUGCUGCUCCAUUAAGAAAACUUUUUCUUCCAAGUUCAGGUAACAUUUUCCCUGGGAGCCCUGUGUCCCACCUGGUUAGGAUGGGUCCAAACCUAAGGUUCUGCAUUUGUUCAGAACCCCCAACCCCCGCAAUGUGCCUUAAAUCACAAGGAGGGGGGACCGGAGCCUAAAAACUGCCACUAGGCACCAAGCUAAAACCUGUCAGGCCCAUCGCUUCUCUUUCCUUUCUGUCAGGGACCAAGGUCCUGUGGUGACAGCGAGGGUCAGAAAAUGGUUAUUCACGGAUGUGUGUCUGCCAUCCUGGCUGUAUCCGGGACAGGGCAACUCCGACCCUGGCCAGGGGUCACAGGUGAAGGGAUUCACAGGUGGAGGGAGGCGUCCUCGGCAUGCAGAGCUCUCCUGCAACAGCGCUAGGAUUUUCAGUUCCAUCCGUGUUGCUCCAAGGUUGCAAACUAUCACCACAGCAUAAAUGUGCAUGCAUGUACACUGCCCAAUAAUGAAAAUCAAAGUUCCCUCCAAUUUCACAAGGCCACACCCAGUGCUGUGGCUGACAUCCUUCCAUGUGCCCUGUCACGGCGGGAUCUGAGGGGUGGGGAGGGCGGGGAAAGAUCCAGAAGCAGGAGCAGAAUGGCUCCGUGCUUCACGGAGACAUUUUUCACUUGUGUAAGUUCUCCAGGACGACAUCCCUCGAUGUCAAACCUCUCCAGUAGGCUAUGGGUGCUCUUUCCUUCCCAGUCCUACGAUAGCGGGUUUUACUCAGUUUUUACUCUUGCCAAUCAAAUGGUGGUAGAGUAUCAUCUCUUUUUACCUAUUAUUUCUGUGGUGAUAAAUGAUUUUGGAGAUUUUUGCACAAGAUUUGUUGGUCUUCCUAGAUCUCUCUCCCCUAAAUUGCUUGUCCUAUCCUUGGCCCAUGUCCUUGUGAUCUCGCUGCUUGUCAUGGCUUCUUGCUAUGAUAUCUUCUCUCUCUUCAUCUCCCCCCACCUAUCUGGGGACAAUUUAAAUAUAUUCUCCCAUGAUAUCACAUUUAUCUAUGUUUCUAUUAUGUCCUUUAUUUUACAUAUUUUUCAUUUUAAUGGAAGCAAAUGCUAGAAUAUAUUUCUUUGUUGUUUGUGCUCUUGAAGUUUUUAAAGGUUUUCCUCAAAUAAAUAAAUAAAUAAUAAUA